rnacentral:rRNA from 1 species
GUUGUAUAGUCAAGUAAUUAAGUGCAUGUGGUGGAUGCCUUGGCAGUCAGAGGCGAUGAAAGACGUGAUAGCCUGCGAAAAGCUCCGGGGAGGCGGCAAAUAUCCUUUGAUCCGGAGAUGUCUGAAUGGGGGAACCCACCUACUUUAAGGUAGGUAUUGCAACAUGAAUACAUAGUGUUGCAAGGCGAACGAGGGGAAGUGAAACAUCUCAGUACCCUUAGGAAAAGAAAUCAAUUGAGAUUCCCUCAGUAGCGGCGAGCGAACGGGGAUCAGCCCAUUAAGUUAUGUGUGUUUUAGUGGAACGCUCUGGGAAGUGCGAACGUAGAGGGUGAUAUUCCCGUACACGAAAGGGCACACAUAAUGAUGACGAGUAGGGCGAGGCACGUGAAACCUUGUCUGAAUAUGGGGGGACCAUCCUCCAAGGCUAAAUACUCCUGACUGACCGAUAGUGAACCAGUACCGUGAGGGAAAGGCGAAAAGAACCCCUGUGAGGGGAGUGAAAUAGAUCCUGAAACCGCAUGCAUACAAGCAGUGGGAGCACCUUCGUGGUGUGACUGCGUACCUUUUGUAUAAUGGGUCAGCGACUUAUAUUCAGUAGCAAGGUUAACCGUAUAGGGGAGCCGUAGAGAAAUCGAGUCUUAAUAGGGCGUUUAGUUGCUGGGUAUAGACCCGAAACCAGGCGAUCUAUCCAUGAGCAGGUUGAAGGUUGGGUAACACUAACUGGAGGACCGAACCCACUGUCGUUGAAAAGCCAGGGGAUGACUUGUGGAUAGGGGUGAAAGGCUAAUCAAGCCUGGUGAUAGCUGGUUCUCCCCGAAAGCUAUUUAGGUAGCGCCUCGGACGAAUACCAUAGGGGGUAGAGCACUGUUUCGGCUAGGGGGUCAUCCCGACUUACCAAACCGAUGCAAACUCCGAAUACCUAUGAGUACUAUCCGGGAGACAGACUGCGGGUGCUAACGUCCGUAGUCAAGAGGAAAACAAUCCAGACCGCCAGCUAAGGCCCCAAAAUCAUAGUUAAGUGGGAAACGAUGUGGGAAGGCAUAGACAGCUAGGAGGUUGGCUUANNNNNNNNNNNNNNNNNNNNNNNNNNGAAGCAGCCACCCUUUAAAGAAAGCGUAAUAGCUCACUAGUCGAGUCGGCCUGCGCGGAAGAUGUAACGGGGCUAAAACUAUGUGCCGAAGCUGCGGAUGUAUACUUUGUAUACGUGGUAGGGGAGCGUUCUGUAAGCCGAUGAAGGUGUGUUGAGAAGCNNNNNNNNNNNNNNNNNNNNNNNNNNNNNNAUGCUGGAGGUAUCAGAAGUGCGAAUGCUGACGUGAGUAACGACAAAACGGGUGAAAAACCCGUUCGCCGAAAGACCAAGGGUUCCAGUCCAACGUUAAUCGGGGCUGGGUGAGUCGACCCCUAAGGCGAGGCCGAAAGGCGUAGUCGAUGGGAAAAUGGUUAAUAUUCCAUUACUUCUGUGUAAUGCGAUGAGAGGACGGAGAAGGCUAAAUCAGCCUGGCGUUGGUUGUCCAGGUGAAAGGAUGUAGGCAUGUAUCUUAGGCAAAUCCGGGGUACUCUAUGCUGAGAUCUGAUAGCAAGCUGUACUUGUACAGCGAAGUGGUUGAUGCCAUGCUUCCAGGAAAAGUCUCUAAGCUUCAGUUACACAGGAAUCGUACCCGAAACCGACACAGGUGGUCAGGUCGAGUAGACCAAGGCGCUUGAGAGAACUCUGCUGAAGGAACUAGGCAAAAUGGUACCGUAACUUCGGGAGAAGGUACGCUGUUGUUGGUGAUGGAACUCGCUUCCUGAGCUGACGACAGCCGCAGAAACCAGGCCGCUGCAACUGUUUAUUAAAAACAUAGCACUCUGCAAACACGAAAGUGGACGUAUAGGGUGUGAUGCCUGCCCGGUGCUGGAAGGUUAAUUGAUGGGGUUAGCGUAAGCGAAGCUCUUGAUCGAAGCCCCAGUAAACGGCGGCCGUAACUAUAACGGUCCUAAGGUAGCGAAAUUCCUUGUCGGGUAAGUUCCGACCUGCACGAAUGGCAUAAUGAUGGCGGCGCUGUCUCCAGCAGAGGCUCAGUGAAAUCGAAAUCGCUGUGAAGAUGCAGUGUACCCGCGGCUAGACGGAAAGACCCCGUGAACCUUUACUGCAGCUUGACACUGAACUUUGACCUUACUUGUGUAGGAUAGGUGGGAGGCUUUGAAGCUGGAACGCUAGUUCCAGUGGAGCCGUCCUUGAAAUACCACCCUGGUAAUGUUGAGGUUCUAACUCUGUCCCGUGAUCCGGGACGAGGACCGUGUCUGGUGGGUAGUUUGACUGGGGCGGUCUCCUCCUAAAGAGUAACGGAGGAGUACGAAGGUGCGCUCAGCGUGGUCGGAAAUCACGCGUAGAGUAUAAAGGCAAAAGCGCGCUUAACUGCGAGACCCACAAGUCGAGCAGGUACGAAAGUAGGUCUUAGUGAUCCGGUGGUUCUGUAUGGAAGGGCCAUCGCUCAACGGAUAAAAGGUACUCUGGGGAUAACAGGCUGAUACCGCCCAAGAGUUCAUAUCGACGGCGGUGUUUGGCACCUCGAUGUCGGCUCAUCUCAUCCUGGGGCUGAAGCAGGUCCCAAGGGUAUGGCUGUUCGCCAUUUAAAGAGGUACGCGAGCUGGGUUUAGAACGUCGUGAGACAGUUCGGUCCCUAUCUACCGUGGGCGCUGGAAAUUUGAGAGGAUCUGCUCCUAGUACGAGAGGACCAGAGUGGACGAACCUCUGGUGUACCGGUUGUGACGCCAGUCGCAUCGCCGGGUAGCUAUGUUCGGAAGGGAUAACCGCUGAAAGCAUCUAAGCGGGAAGCCUACCUCAAGAUAAGAUUUCCCUAGGACUUUAUGUCCUCUAAAGAGCCGUUCGAGACUAGGACGUUGAUAGGUUGGAUGUGGAAGCAUAGUGAUAUGUGAAGCUGACCAAUACUAAUUGCUCGUGAGGCUUGACUAUACAACACCCAAGCAGUUG